GAAAUUUGUUCUGAUGCAGUUAUCCAUAGUAAUGGGAUGAAUGUCUCGGACAUCACCAGGAUGAUGGAGGGGGUGAGCAACUCACCGAAGGUUGAGAUAAGUCAAGCAUUGCGAAGACUUGAGGAGCAGUUAAAUUUAAAUGAUGACAGCUCGUCGGAUAUUUAUUCACUCUAUAGUGAGAUUGAGAACUCAAAUGAUGCUGAAAAUGUCGUGCAUGACAAAAGUUCACUUGUCCAGAUCCAGGACAAUUCAAAUAAUUUUCUGUUCCUGCCUCAUUCAGGUGAGAGCAGUGAAUC
rnacentral:misc_RNA from 1 species